CGGGGCUGUAGUGCCCGAUUUUACUGGGUUUUGGCCUGCCAAGGGUGGCUUUUGGCAUCCAUAAAGAACCACGAAAAAUACGCAUGGGGUGCAAGGGGUCGAGUGUUCGAAUCACUCCGUCCCGACCA
rnacentral:tRNA from 1 species